rnacentral:lncRNA from 1 species
AAGAAUAAUGGUCGGGAACUGAGAUAGAAAUGGAGAGACUAUCAAUUAUGAUUGACAGAGCAUCAUGACUGAUUAUCAGAAAUGAGAAAAUAUAAAAGUCACAGGUUCAGGACAAAGAUUGACCCGGUAGAAAAUAAAACUGAGGAAAGAAGAAGAUACGCACAACAGAGGGGAAGACAUUGGCUGAGCCUCACAAACAUUGCAGAUAUCCCUAUGUGACUCAGAAUCAACACAAGAUCCUGCCUUUAAAC